UACGAAGGGGGCUAGCGUUGCUCGGAAUCACUGGGCGUAAAGGGUGCGUAGGCGGGUCUUUUAAGUCAGGGGUGAAAUCCUGGAGCUCAACUCCAGAACUGCCUUUGAUACUGAAGAUCUUGAGUUCGGGAGAGGUGAGUGGAACUGCGAGUGUAGAGGUGAAAUUCGUAGAUAUUCGCAAGAACACCAGUGGCGAAGGCGGCUCACUGGCCCGAUACUGACGCUGAGGCACGAAAGCGUGGGGAAGCAAACAGGGAUUAAGAAACC
rnacentral:rRNA from 1 species